UUUAAGCAGUACUAAUCUACUUAUCGUGUUCAACUUUAAUUAUUCGUCUUAUUUAAAAUAUUUUUAUAAUUAGUAUUUUAUUGCUAUGAGAUAAUAAAAUAUAAAUAAUAUUUAUGUUUUUAAUUUUUUUUUACAAAUUUUUUAAAUAAGACUAACGAUCAAAAUUGUGCACGGAAAAUUAUGGCUGUAUUUAAA
rnacentral:pre_miRNA from 1 species